GGGAACAAAAAGAUUAAGAAGGUUCCAACAUUGACUCUCCAAAUUAGCUGGCCGCUUGUAAAGAAUCGGUUUUCUUAACAAGCCUGCUUUCAGGUUUGAGUGGGAGAGCAAAUUCCUGGAAGUCCCAUAAAAAGGUAUGGAUUUAAUCAAUUGUGGAAUAGAUAUUCCCCAGACAAGAAGUCUCAUGGAGAGAAAUUCAAAGCAAUGAUAUAAUUCCAUUGGGCACCAAUGGAAAAAAAAAAUACUAGUAACCUUACUGUUCUUUUUGGGCCUGUUUGAUUCUCCAAGGAUAUCACCCUGUUCAAUGAGGAAAUUCAUGACUAUUGCCAAGGGAGCCGAGGCUGAGUACCAAAUGGCACAGUUGCAAUGAAUCCAGCACAGAAGCCCCACAUGGGAAAAAGGUAAAGAAGUCAAGGAUUACCAAUGCACGAAUCAACAGCAGAAACAGGCUUACAUGAGCCAACUGGGUCACAUUAGGUGUUGCUCAAGCUUAAAGCCAUGUCAUUAUCUAAGAAAAAGAAACAAGUGCAUUAUAAAUGAGCUAUUUCAAUACA